CUACGCCUUCUUUAUUUUCUCUCUCUAAGCCUUUCCCCCUCUUCGCCUCUCUUUCUUUCUCUCAAAAAUCAAUUUCUAUCACCUUUUUUCCGAGAAUCUUCAUUCACAUUGCUGAUCCGUGCUUAUUCAUUUCUUGACCCUGCUCCGAUUAUAUCCAAUUAUCUUACACGCUUAUCACCUGUUUUCCAAUAUACUAAUGCAAUUUGAAGUUAAUGUAAUCAAAAUGGAUCGGCAUUGUAAUAUCCAAACGUUGCCACCUAGUCAACAGAGGUUCUGAAGGCUGCAACUCCUUGACAUACUGCUUACUCUUCUUCUACAAUGAAAAGUGGAUUAUUGAUGAUAUUAAAUGCUUCAUGCUGCCUUUCAACUCUAAAUCACAUCUUUAAACUAAGUGCCAACACAGUGUCGACAGUUAGACACCUCUUCAUGGAAUCGGUUCCAGUCUCUCUGAAGUGUUAUUGGUUAUAGUGUUAAUAGUUAAAAAAUGGAAAGGUAUAAAAUUUUGAGAGAGCUCGGAGAUGGUUCUUGCGGUCAUGUAUAUAAAGCCCGUGAUAUGAGAACUUAUGAGAUUGUUGCUGUCAAAAGGUUGAAAAGAAAGUUUUGCUUCUGGGAAGAAUAUACAAAUUUAAGAGAAGUUAAGGCCCUCCGUAAAAUGAAUCACCCAAAUAUCAUAAAGUUGAGAGAGGUUGUUAGAGAAAAUAAUGAACUGUUUUUCAUUUUUGAAUACAUGGAUUUUAAUCUUUAUCAAUUAAUAAAAGAGAGAGAAAAGCCCUUGUCAGAGGAAGAGAUACGAUGCUUUAUGAAGCAAGUGCUCCAUGGACUUAGUCACAUGCACAAGAACGGAUUCUUUCAUCGGGAUUUAAAACCUGAAAAUUUGCUGGUGACUAAUGACGUUCUUAAAAUUGCUGAUUUUGGACUGGCUAGAGAAGUAUCAUCAAUGCCUCCAUAUACUCAAUAUGUUUCCACACGGUGGUAUCGAGCUCCUGAAGUAUUGUUGCAGUCUCCACGUUAUACUCCUGCUGUUGACAUGUGGGCUAUUGGUGCUAUAUUUGCUGAGCUUUUUACUUUGACCCCCAUAUUUCCUGGUGAAAGUGAAAUAGAUCAACUGUACAAAAUAUACUGUGUUCUUGGUAUGCCAGAUUCAACUUGUUUCACCAUAGGUGCGAACAACUCUAGGCUAUUGGACCUUGUUGGUCAAGAAGUUGUUCCACCUAUGAAGCUUUCUGAUAUCAUUCCAAAUGCUAGCAUGGAAGCUAUAGAUUUAAUCACACAAUUGUUAUCAUGGGACCCAUCAAGAAGGCCAGAUGCGGAUCAGUCACUGCAACAUUCUUUUUUCAAUGUGGAUACAAGGGUUCCUUGUUCACUCAGUGAUCCACUCGAGCUGAAGCUGAGUUGCACGAGGGCAAAACCAAAUCUUGAGCUGAAGCUGCAGGAUUUUGGCCCUGAUCCCGAUGAUUGUUUUCUUGGCUUGACAUUGGCUGUAAAGCCUAGUGUUUCAAACUUGGAUGUGGUUCAAAAUGCAUCGCGGGGCAUGGGAGAGAAUAUGCUCUUUUGCUCGGAUUUUAAUGAUCAUUCAGACCAAUCAGUUUUUUGGACAUUAUUAUCUCCUGAUCAGAGUGGAGUUCACAACUCAGCAGAGACUUCAUUAUCAUUGUCAUUUGGGUAAGUUUUUGUCUAUACUACACACACACAGACAGUAUCAUUAUAAUUUGGCGUUUAUUUUUGAUAUUUAUAAUAUUAGUGAUAUUCGAGGAAUAAAUAUCACAAUGUUAUGGAUCAUAAGGUAAUGUAAAAGUAGAACCAAGACUAUGUUUCUGACUUUUUAAAUGAAUAAAAAUUAAUUGUGAUCUUGCUUAGUAUAUGGGAUUAAAUGCUUCAUCUCUCCAAAGAAAUAUAAGAUGUUGAAAUGGAUUCAACUGCACUCUUUUUAGCUAAGCAACUCUAUGGCUGCUAGAAGAUUGAAUUAGAUAUUAGAUCUGUUCAACACCAGCCAAUUGGAGUUCCACAGACAGCGGGAUUUUCUUUUCAGCCUUUGCAGCCUAACAUCUUAACUACUCCA